AUGUCCGCCAUGGAUCGUCUCCCCAUGGAGCUGCUCGCCGAGAUCCUCCGCCGCCUCCCGCCGCGGGGCAUCGCUACGUGCCGGGCCGUCCGCAAGGGCUGGCGCGCCGCCGUGGACUCCAACGGGCUGAUGCUCGCGGUGGAGCACCGGGUGCCGCACCACGUCGGCGGCAUCAUCAUCAACUUCUCCUACGAGGACCGGCCCUACUUCUUCCCCUGCGGGGCCGGCCCUACGGGCAUCGGCCUCAACGCCACGGCGCUCGAUUUCAUGAUCCCACCGGAGGUGGAAACGGGGCGGGGGAUCGUCCUCGACCACCGCAACGGCCUCCUCCUGUACGAGGGCGAGUACGCGUUGUACGUGUGCAACCCCGCGACGCGGCGGUGGGCGGAGCUUCCCCCUUUGCCCUCAUAUCGCCCCGGCGCCUAUUACCUCCUGUUCGACCCCACCGAGUCGCUGCACUACAGCGUCUUCUUCUUCCCCGAGCCCAACAAACAUGAUCAGUCGAUGGAAUGGCCGCCGUCUUCCUACAUGGUGAAAGUGUACUGCUCGAGAAGCGGCCAGUGGGAUGACAUGACAUUUGUCCGAGAAGGAGGUGCAACAACGGUGGCCAUGUGGGCAGAUCGAAUCAAUGAACGAAAGCGCCAUGCCGUGUACUGGCGAGGGGCAUUCUAUCUUCAUUGCCCCACUGGUUUCAUCAUAAGGUUUUCAUUGGAGAAGAAAACUUCUGUAGUCAUCAGAUCCCCGGAAGUAGCGGUGAUGCCUAAUAUUACUGUUUGUGAGCCUGAAAUGCAUCUUGGGAAAUCGAAACAUGGAGUAUACUGCACAACCAUCUAUGGAUCCCAACUUCAAGCAUGGGUACUACUUGAGGAAUCCAAACCAUGUCUAGUGCAUGAGUGGGAGCUAAAGUGUCAUUUUGGGCUUAUUCCCUCUUUUAAACGAUGCUACACUAGAGCGCAAGGGUUGGGUGAUGGAGAAGACAACGAGCUGGGUGAUGGAGAAGACAACGAGUUUGGUGAUGGAGAAGACAAUGAGUGGGACUCUAGUGGUGAAAGUCAUGCUGAUGAUUCUGGGGAAGAAGAAGAGGCUGAAGAAUUAGAUGAAGAUAUGGAACAACAUAUUAUAUUUAAUAAUGGCAUACGCUUUAUUGGGUACCAUCCAAACAAGGAGAUUGCUUUUCUGGUGACCCGUAGCUUAUAUGGGUUUGCUUACUACCUUGGUACCUCUAAGUUGCGCUACUUGGGAUCACUUUACCCAGAUGGAUGUUCUAAUCCUCAAUAUUUGGCCUUACAUAAGUCUUUCAUCUACACUCCUUGCAUGGAUGAUGUGCUUCCUACUUGCAAUGGCCCAUAA
rnacentral:rRNA from 1 species